UACGUAGGGUGCGAGCGUUAAUCGGAAUUACUGGGCGUAAAGUGUGCGCAGGCGGCUUCGCAAGUCGAGUGUGAAAAUCCCCGAGCUUAACUUGGGAAUUGCGCUCGAAACUACGGAGCUGGAGUGUGGCAGAGGAAGGUGGAAUUCCACGUGUAGCGGUGAAAUGCGUAGAGAUGUGGAGGAACACCGAUGGCGAAGGCAGCUCUCUGGGUCCCUACCGACGCUGGGGUGCGAAAGCAUGGGGAGCGAACAGG
rnacentral:rRNA from 1 species